rnacentral:rRNA from 1 species
GACGAACGCUGGCGGCGUGCUUAACACAUGCAAGUCGAACGAUGAAGCCGGAGCUUGCUCUGGUGAAUUAGUGGCGAACGGGUGAGUAACACGUGAGUAACCUGCCCUUGACUCUGGGAUAGCUGCGGGAAACUGUAGCUAAUACCGGAUACGACCCUCGGAGGCAUCUCCUGGGGGUGGAAAGAAUUUCGGUCAAGGAUGGCCUCGCGGCCUAUCAGCUAGUUGGUGAGGUAAAGGCUCACGAAGGCGACGCCGGGUAGCCGGCCUGAGAGGGUGACCGGCCACACUGGGACUGAGACACGGCCCAGACUCCUACGGGAGGCAGCAGUGGGGAAUAUUGCACAAUGGGCGCAAGCCUGAUGCAGCAACGCCGCGUGAGGGAUGACGGCCUUCGGGUUGUAAACCUCUUUUAGCAGGGAAGAAGCGAAAGUGACGGUACCUGCAGAAAAAGCACCGGCUAACUACGUGCCAGCCGCCGCCGUAA